AUCACAGCCAAUGAGUCCCUUUGUAACAUAGCCCAUACACCACAUGGAUUUGAGAGAUUUGGGGAGGUGGGGGAGGGAAGUCUUGAUAUUUUGGUUUUUUUAUUUUCCAACCAGCAGUUUAACUAUGCCAUGUGGUGAUGGCAGAGGUGCAGCGCUUCAGUGAAAAUGUUUCAGUGGGUUCUGCGAACAGCCCUUGCGAGAACAGCCUACUCAGUCUGCUUCGGGUUUGCUUGGAAUGGCGGGAAGGAAGCUGGACAUGCUGCAGAACCUCACCUUUUAAUCCUGAGCUCCUAUACUUUGGUUCAUCUGCCACCAUUUGACUCUCAGCCAGCCCCAGAACUUAGCCUGGGACUACACCUUCCUGCUCUGCUUCAGCAGGCGGCUCUCAUGCCCGCACCUGGACCAACUUCCCUGUCUGCACCUUCCCACUCCUGCUCUACCCAAGAGCCGCACCCUCCUUGCAGUUUCCCAAACAUCCCAUGCUCUUCCCCCAUACGCUUUUGCCCACGGAUAGCAUUUAUGUCGCAGUCACUUCUAUUACAUUUUGCCACACUUUGUCCUAAACAAGUUGUUAGAUAUGAACUAAUUUAACCUCCAUGACAGCCAUGUGGACUUGAUCCCAUUCCCAUUUUACAGGUGAAGAGGCUGAAUGGAAAAGGUUAAGUAGCUUGGCCUUCAUUCUGCUGACCCUAAGCCCUCUUCAUCACAAAGUUCUGGGCCCUCAGAUCUCAGCUCAGAUGCUGACCUUGACCCUUUGGCUAAAAGCAAUCCCUCCCCUCCCCAUUUCUCUCUUUCAGGAUCCAGUUUGUUCUCUGCAUGUCCUAUGAGCAUAAUUUAAAAUGGUCAUAUGUACAUUGUAUUUUGAGUUAUCAUUUCCCUUCUGGUGCACUCCUAUCAUGCCCAUGAAGGCAGCAACUGUUUUAUUUUGUCGCUUGGUAUCCCCAGCCAUAUUAAAGUAACUGACACUUAAUAAAUACUGAAUA
rnacentral:lncRNA from 1 species